GUCGCUAUAGGAUGGGCCCGCGCGCGCAUAGCUAGUUGGUGAGGUACACGGUCUCACCAAGGCGACGAUCGUAGCCGACCUGAGAGGGUGAUCGGCCACACUGGGACUGAGACACGGCCCAGACUCCUACGGGAGGCAGCAGUAGGGAAUCUUCCACAAUAGGGCGAAAGCCUGAGAUAGGAGCAACGCCGCGUGAGUAAAGAAGGAUUUAUCGGUUCGUAAAACUCUAUUGUAAGGAAGAACCAAAGUACAGUAAGUAACUUAGGCUAGUACCUUUAGACGGUACCUUAUUAAGAAAGCCACGGCUAACUACGUGCCAGCAGCCGCGGUA
rnacentral:rRNA from 1 species